GACGAACGCUGGCGGCGUGCUUAACACAUGCAAGUCGAACGAAGAGCGAUGGAAGCUUGCUUCUAUCAAUCUUAGUGGCGAACGGGUGAGUAACGCGUAAUCAACCUGCCCUUCAGAGGGGGACAACAGUUGGAAACGACUGCUAAUACCGCAUACGAUCCAAUCUCGGCAUCGAGACUGGAUGAAAGGUGGCCUCUAUUUAUAAGCUAUCACUGAAGGAGAGGAUUGCGCCUGAUUAGCUAGUUGGAGGGGUAACGGCCCACCAAGGCGAUGAUCAGUAGCCGGUCUGAGAGGAUGAACGGCCACAUUGGGACUGAGACACGGCCCAGACUCCUACGGGAGGCAGCAGUGGGGAAUCUUCCGCAAUGGACGAAAGUCUGACGGAGCAACGCCGCGUGAGUGAUGACGGCCUUCGGGUUGUAAAGCUCUGUUAAUCGGGACGAAUGGUUCUUGUGCGAAUAGUGCGAGGAU
rnacentral:rRNA from 1 species